GACGAACGCUGGCGGCGUGCUUAACACAUGCAAGUCGAACGGUGAAGCGCCUUCCUUUUUGGUGGGUGUGGAUGAGUGGCGAACGGGUGAGUAACACGUGAGUAACCUGCCCCCUUCUUCUGGAUAACCGCAUGAAAGUGUGGCUAAUACGGGAUAUUCUGGGUCUGUCGCAUGAUGGGUCUGGGAAAGAUAUUGUUUCGGUGGGGGAUGGGCUCGCGGCCUAUCAGCUUGUUGGUGGGGAGAUGGCCUACCAAGGCGGUGACGGGUAGCCGGCCUGGGAGGGUGGACGGUCACACUGGGACUGAGACACGGCCCAGACUCCUACGGGAGGCAGCAGUGGGGAAUAUUGCACAAUGGGCGCAAGCCUGAUGCAGCGACGCCGCGUGAGGGAUGGAGGCCUUCGGGUUGUGAACCUCUUUCGCCAGUGAAGCAGGCCUGCCUCGUUUGUGGGUGGGUUGACGGUAGCUGGAUAAGAAGCGCCGGCUAACUACGUG
rnacentral:rRNA from 1 species